GAUUAUGGUUGAUAGGUGUUCAGAUGAUAGUUGUGGACACGGUAUUGGUCCCUUCAGCUUUGACCCUGGGUUUCAUUUAUCAUUAUGAUUUUGGAUGAUCUACUUAGUAGGAGUAAUAUUCAUGAGUUGGAUUCAACAUAGUGUUACCCCUAAUUGGUGGGGCAUCCUGGAGAGGAUCUUUCAUUAGAUAGCAUUUGUACUUUAGACUCUUGGCUGGCA
rnacentral:lncRNA from 1 species